rnacentral:rRNA from 1 species
GACGAACGCUGGCGGCGUGCUUAACACAUGCAAGUCGAACGGAAAGGCCCUGCUUUUGUGGGGUGCUCGAGUGGCGAACGGGUGAGUAACACGUGAGUAACCUGCCCUUGACUUUGGGAUAACUUCAGGAAACUGGGGCUAAUACCUGAUAGGAGCUCCUGCUGCAUGGUGGGGGUUGGAAAGUUUCGGCGGUUGGGGAUGGACUCGCGGCUUAUCAGCUUGUUGGUGGGGUAGUGGCUUACCAAGGCUUUGACGGGUAGCCGGCCUGAGAGGGUGACCGGCCACAUUGGGACUGAGAUACGGCCCAGACUCCUACGGGAGGCAGCAGUGGGGAAUAUUGCACAAUGGGCGGAAGCCUGAUGCAGCAACGCCGCGUGCGGGAUGACGGCCUUCGGGUUGUAAACCGCUUUCGCCUGUGACGAAGCGUGAGUGACGGUAAUGGGUAAAGAAGCACCGGCUAACUACGUG